rnacentral:rRNA from 1 species
UACGAAGGGGGCUAGCGUUGUUCGGAAUCACUGGGCGUAAGGGGCGCGUAGGCGGCUUGGCAAGUCAGGUGUGAAAGGCCUGGGCUCAACCCAGGAACUGCACUUGAGACUGCCUCGCUUGAGUCCGGGAGAGGAUGGCGGAAUUCCCAGUGUAGAGGUGAAAUUCGUAGAUAUUGGGAAGAACACCGGUGGCGAAGGCGGCCAUCUGGACCGGUACUGACGCUGAGGCGCGAAAGCGUGGGGAGCAAACAGG